rnacentral:rRNA from 1 species
UACCGCAUACGUCCUACGGGAGAAAGCAGGGGACCUUCGGGCCUUGCGCUAUCAGAUGAGCCUAGGUCGGAUUAGCUAGUUGGUGAGGUAAUGGCUCACCAAGGCGACGAUCCGUAACUGGUCUGAGAGGAUGAUCAGUCACACUGGAACUGAGACACGGUCCAGACUCCUACGGGAGGCAGCAGUGGGGAAUAUUGGACAAUGGGCGAAAGCCUGAUCCAGCCAUGCCGCGUGUGUGAAGAAGGUCUUCGGAUUGUAAAGCACUUUAAGUUGGGAGGAAGGGUUGUAGAUUAAUACUCUGCGAUUUUGACGUUACCGACAGAAUAAGCACCGGCUAACUCUGUGCCAGCAGCCGCGGUAAUACAGAGGGUGCAAGCGUUAAUCGGAAUUACUGGGCGUAAAGCGCGCGUAGGUGGUUUGUUAAGUUG